ACGGUACAAUUUUCCUUUCAUCAUCAUUGUUUAUUUAUGAUCUUAUUUCCAAUUAGCUUUGUUACUAAAUAAAGGUUCUGAAACUCAAAAGACGUAAUUUGUGUAGUUGGUUGAUUGCAUCUCUUAUUAUACAGAUUCAGUGGAGAAUAUAUUGCUAAGGGAACAUCAUCAGUUGUCCUAUCUGAUGCUAUAUUUGACAAAGAGGUGAUGGCUCAAAGAAACUUCAGUGUAGUAUAUCGUCUGGCCCAGUUUGCAGCUUCACAAGGCAAUGAAGUUGUAGAAAGGAAGAGAAAGAUCUAUGCCAGUAAAUAUCAUUUCAGCAUCUGUCUUUUGACCCAGAUGGAAAAUUGGAUUAUAUGGGUUUCAAUCAAAAGACGUUAAAUUAUCGGGGUUUGAUUUGAAGGGUGCCUUUGUUGGUCGAUCAAUGGAUUUUGAUCUUGAAAAUGAUAAAGAAAUUCUUCGAAUGAAACUAUUGGAGGAUGUAAAUAAUUGUAAUUAC